AGCCCAGUGGUCUAGUGGAUAGGACGCUGGCUUGCGGAGCCAGUGAUCAGGGGUUCAAAUCCCCUCUGGGCUA
rnacentral:tRNA from 1 species